CCUACGGGUGGCAGCAGUAGGGAAUUUUCCACAAUGGGCGAAAGCCUGAUGGAGCAACGCCGCGUGGGUGAAGAAGGUCUUCGGAACGUAAAACCCUGUUGUUAGGGAAGAAAAUGCGGGAAAGUGACUUUUCACGUUUCGACGGUAUCUAACCAGAACGCCACGGCUAACGACGUGCCAGCAGCCGCGGUAAUACGUAGGUGGCAAGCGUUAGCCGGAUUUAUUGGGCGUAAAGGGAACGCAGGCGGUCUUUUAAGUCUGAUGUGAAAGCCUUCGGCUUAACCGGAGUAGUGCAUUGGAAACUGGGAGACUUGAGUGCAGAAGAGGAGAGUGGAAUUCCAGGUGUAGCGGUGAAAUGCGUAGAUAUAUGGAAGAACACCAGUGGCGAAGGCGGCUCUCUGGUCUGUAACUGACGCUGAGGUUCGAAAGCGUGGGUAGCAAACAGGAUUAGAUACCCGGGUAGUC
rnacentral:rRNA from 1 species